CUUUUGCUUCUCCCAUUCAUGGAGCUAGACAGCAGUUCAUGCUCAUUCCCUUAUGGAGGGAUGGGGCAGUGUAGACAGAAGAAAAUACCUUCAAUUCUUCCUGGAUUUGGCUUCCAAAGGCCUUCGCCCAUUCUCCAGUAGCUUUCUGAGAGAGGCAGUGUGGGAAGUGAACUUGGGAAGGGGAGUAGGGCUUCUGGAGAAACAAACCUUCUCUUUAAAUGGAGUUCACUGGCUUGUCUCAGCUUCAUGCCAGACUAAAGAACAUGGUUGGCUCCUGGAUCAGUGGAGACUACCCUGGGAUCAACCCUAAAGUGAUUCCUGCAGAGCCUGAGACUGGAAGCUGUCACACCAUGGAUGACAGCCAGGCUGCUGGAUUCAUUUCAAAGUGACUCAGUGGGGCAGAGAACCAUUAAUAUACUUAUCAUCACAGGUAUUAGUUAUAUGUCACUAUUGAGAACUGUUGCAGAGUAUUAUUUUUCAUUCUUUUAUUUGUUUAACCAUACACUGUCUAGCUUUAAAAAUUUUAUUUGUGUUCAUGUGUUUGUUUUGUUCACAGGUAGACUAUUUUGUUUCUGAGAUUACUCCAAAUUUUACACAGAUGAUAAGUAGGUAGUGAAAAAAAUCCAAUUAGAAAAUGGGUGAAAGACCUGCCGAGACUUUUCACCAAAGAGGAUAUACAGAUGGUGAAUAAGGAGGUGAGAUCUUUAACAUUGUUAGCCAUUAGGGAAAUGCAAAUGCAAACCAUAUUGAGAUAGCACUACACACCUAUCAGAAUGGCUAUAAUAAAAAAUAGUGACAAUACCAAAAUGCUGGAGAAGAUGCAGAGAAACUGGAUCAUUCAUUGCUGGGAGAAUGUAAAAUGGUAUAACUACUCUGGAAAACAGUUUGGCAGUUUCUCUAAAAAAUAAAUGUGCAGCUACUAUAUCACCCAGCAAUUACACUUUUGGACUUUUAUUGCAAAGAAGUUCAACUUAUGUCCACACAAAAACUUGUACAUGAAUAUUGAUAGCACCAAUUGAUUAAAAUAUCAAAAAAAGUUUUUAAUUGUGGCAAAACACACAUAACACAAACUUUACUUUUUUUUUUUUUUUUGCCUAGGGAAGAUUCGCCCUGAGCUAACAUCUGUGCCAAUCUUCCUCUAUUUUGUACGCGAGUUGCCGCAUAGCAUGGCUGCCGAUGAGUGGUGCAGGUCCGUGCCUGGGAACUGAGUCUGGGAUGCUGGAGUGGAGCAUGCUAACUUAACCACUAGGCUAUGGGGACAGUGCCUUACCAUUUUUAAGUGUGCAGUUUGGUAGUGCUAAGUACAUUCACAUUGUUGCGCAACCAACUUCCAGAACUCUUUUCAUCUGCAAAACUGAAACUCUAUACUCAUUAAAUAGUAACAUACUCUUCCUUUUUUCAUUCCAGGCCCUGACAACCUCCAUUCUACUUUCUGUAUCUAUGAAUUUGAUUACUCGAGAUACUUCAUCUAAGUGGAAUCACACAGUAUUUUUUUUGUGACUGGCUUAUUUUACUUAGCAUAAUGUUCUCAAGGUUCGUCCAUGUUGUAGCAUGUGCCAGAAUUUCUUUUCUUUUUAAGGCUGAAUAAUAUUCCAUUGUAUGUGUGUUUUGUUGAUCCAUUCAUCAGUUGCUUCAUACUUGGGUUGCUUCCACCUUUUGGCUACUGUGAAUAAUGCUGCUUUGAACAUGAGUGUACAAAUAUCUCUUCGAGACCCAGAGGUGGAAUUGCUAGAUCGUAUAAUAAUUCUAUUUUUAAUUAUUUGAGGAACUGCCAUACUGUUUUCCAUAGCAACUUAACCAUUUUACAUUCCCAUCAACAGUUUACAGGGUUUCAAUUUCUCUACACCCUUGCCAACACGUUUUUUUUUAAUAGUAGCCACCGCUGUGAUUUUGAUUUUGAUUUCCUUAAUGAUUAGUGAUGUUGAGCAUCUUUUCAUGUGCUUGUUGGCCAUUUGUAUAUCAUCUUUGGAGAAAUGCCUAUUCAAACCUUUGCCCAUUUUUUUAAUUGAGGUUUCUUUUUUGUUGUUGUUAUUGAGUUGUAGGAGUUCUUUAUAUAUUCUAAAUAUUGACCCUUUAUCAGAUAUAUGAUUUGCCAAUAAUUUCUCUCAUGUUGUAGGGUUUUUUACUCUGUUGAUUGUGUCCUUUGGUGCACAGAAGUUUUUAAUUUUGAUGUAGUACAAUUUACCUAGUUUUACUUUUGUUACCUGUGCUUUUAGUGUCAUAUCCAAGAAAUAAUUGCCAAAUCCAAUGUCAUGAAGCUUUUGUCCUAUGAUUUCUUCUAAGAGUUUUAUCUCUUAUGUUUAGGGCUUUGAUUUGUUUUGAGUUAAUUUUUGUUUAUGGUGUAAUGUAACGGUCCAACUUCCUUCUUUUGUAUAUGGAUAUCCAAUUUUCCCAAUACCAUUUGUUGAACUUCCCAUUAUUUCUUAAAUGGCAUUAUUUGACUCUGUAACCUACAAGACAUUAAAAUACAAAAAGCACUUAAGGUGCAUUAAAAUCUAUGAACCAGUAAGAAUCAUGGUGAUGCAACUGUAAGCCAAAUGAAUUUCUUCUGAGGAGAAAAGGCUGUGGCCAGCCUGUGAGGCAAAAGUACUAAGCAGGAAAUGAAACUAUAAAAUAAAAGGUCAGUCUUUACCUAAAAGCAGCUUAGAGAGUAUUUCCAGUGACACAGCAGCCUCUCAAUACACCAUAUAUCAUCUCUAUACAUUAAAGGUACUAUAUAUUGUCCAAGAAAGAUUAACCUAACAACCAAAUACAAACAAGAAAAGAUGCAUCUUAAUUAUCUAAUUACCGUUCAGGAUCCCAGUGAUUUUGGAACCUAGUGAAACAUCUCAGAUUAAUGUUGCUAUAAGUUGGUUUUGGUUAUAUUACUAGGUGCUUCAUUCCCAUUGAGUCAUUAUAAUCUGUUAAUUAAAAGGAUAUCUACUUACAGCUUCUUUUCAAAGUCUUAGUGAACUUUUGUUCCAGGACUGUCUCUAGGAUUAAGAUGCUUUCUGCUUUUAGUUUCAUUUGUUUCCACAACAUUAACUGUACAUAUAGCAUAACCGAUGUCUCUAAUAGAAAAAGUUAAAUUCUGUUUAGAAUAGUGUUUAAUAAAAUUGAAUAUACGUAUAAAGUUUUUAGAGAUGUUUAUUUUGAAAUUUUACAAUAAAAAUUCUGCUACUCAAAAGAUUAAGCUUCAGUUUUCUAGACAUUUUAUAGUUCCUGAAAACAGCUGGAUAAAAGAGAUUUUAGAAUGAAUCAGAGCCUGGUACAAACCGACAUCAUGACUCAGAAUACAAGUGAACAGAAAUCUAUGCGUCUACUUAGCAGACUAGAAAGUUACUAGCUGGUAAAAUAAGCUAAAACUCCAUGAAAUUAAAAUGAAUGCUUUCUGCAGUCACAAUAAAGUUCUGGUAACAUUUUUUAGGUUCUUCUAACAUAGACACAUGCUCAAUAGCACAAACAAAUUUCAAUCAAAUAAGAAGAGCUUAAGUGUAGAAAAUAUACAAUCAACCCAGUUUACUCCUUCCUGUACCACAGGGCAUAGCUACAUGCCAUCUGGUGAUUAUUAGGCGAGAAAGCUGCCAUCUGCCACUUCCGCUAAUACAUGGGAGAGGGGUGGCUAUCCCUACCCUGUAAGCCUGUGGAGAUUUCCUUAUGGCUGUUUACAUGCCCCAGGGCUCCAAUUGAUGAGUUAGAGUUUACUCUGUGUGUGUGUGCACACCCAACGUAUUCAACACCAAAGUGAGACAUCUUUUUCUUACAACCUCUUAAGUGACAAAAAAGUCACUGUUUGGCCUGCUUAACUCAUCCCACAGCAAGCCUCUUCUAUCCUGCCUGAUUCAAAGCCAUGAUGCUAUUAAAUACAACCUAAACUAGAGAGACAAAAUUGGAUUGCAGCCAUAAAAAUAAAUUACAAAGUGGAUGCAAAUAGAAUCUAAGAUGUGAAAAGGACCUGCCAGUCCUUCUGUCUUACAUCCCUUCAAGGAAAGUCAGAACCUAAAUCGUCCUCAAAGAAAUCUUUCCAUAGAUUCUCAUAAAAGAAUUUUUAAGGUGUCAUAUCUUUUCUUACCCAGUCAGAAGUUUAUUUCCUUACAUUUAAAAAAGCAAGAAUAGGGCGUAAAAUUAUUUCAAAGAGGUUUUAGCUAAUAUCCAAAUUUGAGCUAUUUCUAGAACUUAAUGAGGUGGAAAUAGGGAAAGAAAAAGAGAAGAUAUAAAGGUACAUGAGUUCUUUCCUAACUUAUGUCAGGCCUGUCUGUUUCUCAAAACUUUGCGCUUAAUAGCUGCUUCCUAUAAAGUUAUUGAAUAAAUGAAUGAAUGGAAUGAAUUUCUCUCUCCAUAGAAUGGUACCAAUUGACCCCACUUGAUGAUUCAUUCUCACCCACAGAAAUUUUGUAUUCUAAAGAAGUAAAGAAUAAAAUUUUAAAAAUUCCCUAGAUGACCUAGAGCGUGACUCUGUUCUGAAAUCAUCAUUCAGCAGCCUGAUAUGGUACAAAGAUCGUAGGAAUAUGAUUGUGUUUCUAGGUCUUAGUCUCAAAUCUUAAAGUAAUUGUAAAUUUUGGAGCAAGUCACUUAGCCUCUCUGUGCCUCAGUUUCCUCUGCCAUCAAAGAAUCAUUCCUACUUGUCCCAACCCAUCUCACAGGGCUGCCAGGAAAAUCUAUAAGACAUUGAAUGGGAAUGGAGCCAUGCACAUAAGAAAAAGCAUUAAAUGCUUAACAGAAAGCUGUGUAGAGUAAGUUGCUACAUGAAUAAACUUUUACCAGGCAAUAUUUAUAAAACUUUCACAUAAAAUGGCACAGAAGAGCUUAUACUUCAAGCCAAGAUGGAGUAACAAGGACUGGAUUUACUCUACUGCCUGGACAACUAAAAAGCUGGAAUAAUGUAUGAAACAUCUCUCAAGACAUUGGCUAUCAGAAGACAAAAACCAAUUAUCCCAAAGUGACAGAAAACAAAUGUAGUGAUACCUAAUAAUGCUGUCUUACUGCCUAGAGAAAGUUUCUAGGCCAAGACACAGGAAGAGGGAAAGCACUCAGAGCACAGAGCUCUCCUGGAAUUGAGGAGACAAAGCUGGAAGUCAGGACAACCAGAGUUCAUAGGACAGAGUAUCAGAGAAGAGAGAAUUGCACAAAGAGAAAACACCAGAAAUCUGCAGAGGGUGUGACUCAAGACUUCACUUGAGUACUGAUCAGCCCAUACUUGUGAGAAAACUACCUGAGGCUGAACAAAGAACAACCUAAAAGGAAUAAAGGGAACAGUGCUUGAGUUCACAAAGGGAUGGAAUUAGUGUCUCUUCCAAAAAAGCCAGAGUGAGAAUAUUUCAUAAUCCACAUGGUACAAAAAAAGAGUCUCAUGUCAGCAGGUGGAAAAUUAGCCCUACACUAAAUACUGUUCUAGUACCACCUAAGAAAACUUUAAAAAAGUCUCAAGGGGCCGGUCCAGUGGUGCAGCAGUUAAGUUCGCAUGUUCCGCUUUGGCAGCCCGGGGUUCACUGGUUUGGAUCCUGGGUGUGGACCUACACAAUGCUUGUCAAGUCAUGCUGUGGCAGGUGGCCCACAUAUAAAGUAGAGGAAGAUGGGCAUGGAUGUUAGCUCAGGGCCAGUGUUCCUCAGCAAAAAGAGGAGGAUUGGCAGCAGAUGUCAGCUCAGGGCUAAUCUUCCUCAAAAAAAGAAAAAAAGGGUCUCAAGAAGAUCAGUUUAUUUCCAAAUAAUUGAAUUACAUUCCAGAACAAAGUUCAACAAUAUUUAUGUGAAUACAAAAAUACAAGAACAUUACAAUGUAAAAUUCAUAAUAUCUGGCAUCCAAUAAAAAAUUAUCUGUCAUGAAAAGACGUAGGAAAAUACACCCCAUAAUGAGGAGAAUAAUCAAUCAAAACUGACCCAAAUAUGAUACAAAUAAUAGAAUUAGUAGACAAGAGUAUUAAGACAGUUGUUAUAAUUAUACUUCAUACAUUUAAGAAGAAGGGGAAAGAUUGAGCAUGUUAAGUAAAGAUGUUAAAGAUAUAAAAGAGACCCAAGUUGAGCUUCUAGAGAUAAAAACUACAAUGUCUGAGGGGCUGGCCCAGUGGAGUAGUGGUUAAGUUCAUGUGCUCUGCUUUGGUGGCCCAGGUUUCACGAGUUUGGAUCCUGGGUGCAGACAACCUACACACCACUCAUCAAGCCAUGCUGAGAUGCUGUCCCACAAACAAAAUAGAGAAAGAUUGGCACAGAUGUUAGCUCAGGGUUUUUAAAAAAAAACCCACAAAAACCCAAAAAAACCUAGAAUGUCUGAGAUGAAAAAUACAUUGAAUGGGAUUAACAGCAGAUUAACCAUUGUAGAAGAAAAUAUUAGUGCACUUGAAGACAUAGCCGUAGAAAGUGUCCAAAAUGAAAACAAAAGGGAAGGAGAGAGAGAGAAUUGAAAAAAACUAACAGUAUCAGGGAAAUAAUGGAUAAUUUCUAGUGAUCAAAUAUUUGUUUAAUUAGAAUCAGGAAAGGAGAGAGGAGAGGGAGAAGACAGAAAUAAUAUUUGAAGAAAUUGCAGCCCAAACUUUAAAAAUUUGAAAAAAAUCCAUAAACCCACAGAUCCAAUAAGUUCAGCAAACUCAAAGCAAAGUAACAUAAAGAAAACUACAGCAAGAUAAGUCUUAAAUUGCUCAAAGUGUGAUAAAGAGAAAAAUUUUAAAGCAGGAAAAAAGAUAUAUAACAUACAGAGGAACAAAGAGAAAUUUGACAGGAGACUUCUUGUUGCAGAAAAUGCAACCUUGAAGAUAGUGGAACAACAUAUUUAAAGUACUUAAAAAAUCAUCAACCAAUAAUUUUUUACCCAGCUAAGUGAUUUUUCAAAAAUGAAGAUGAAAUAAAAAGGUUUUCAGACAAGCAAAAGCUAAAAGAAUUCACAUCGCAGACCUGUAGAACAAAUGUUAAAGGAAGUCCUUUAAGCAGAAGACAAAUAAUAUUAGGCAAGAAUUUGGAUCUACAAAAAGCAAUAAAAAGCAGUGGAAAUAAGUAAUGAUGGGGUAUAUAUUAAAAAAAUUUUACCUUAUUACUUAAAUCUAUUUAAAAGGUAAUUUCUUAAAGCAAAAAAAAAAAAAACAAAAAACAAUGCAUUGUGGGGAUUAUAAAAUACGCAGAAGUAAAAUAUAUGCCAAGAAUAGCAUAAAGGCCCAGCAAGGAGAACUAGAACUAUACUGUUGUGAAAUUUUUACACUAUACAUGAAGUGGUAUAAUAUCACUUGAAGGUAGAUUGUGAAAGAUUAAAGAUAUAUAUUAUAAACCCUAAAGCAACCACUAAAAUAACACAACAAAGACUUUAGCUAAGAAGUUAAAAAGGAAGAUAAAGUGGAACCAUACAAAAUAAUCAGUUAAUCCAAAAGGAUAAAAAGAGAACAAAGAUGAGACAAAUAGAAAGCAAAUAGUAAGAGGAUCAGUUUAUACCCAACUAUACUUAUAAUCACCUUAAAUCUAAAUAGUCUAAAUAUUCUAAUUACAUGCAGAGAAUGUCAGAUUCAAUUUAAAAAAAGGGAGAUGCACUCUAUGCUGUCUGCAAGAAAUACACUUUAAAUAUAUAGAUACAAAAAAGUCAAAGUAAAAGGAUAGAAAAUGAUAUAUGAUGCUAGUACUUUUCAAAAGAAACCGAUAAUGGAUAUAUUAAAUAUCAGACAAAGUCUAUUUCAAUGCAAGGAAUAUUAACAAGGAUAAUGAGGGUCAUUUCAUAAUGAUAAAGUAGUCAAUUCAGUGAAAGAACAUAAGAUUCUUAAUGCUUAUAUACCUAAUAAUAGAGCUUCAAAAAACACGAAGGAAAAAUAAUAGAACUAAAAGAAAAAUGGACAAAUCCACAAUUAUAGACAGAAAUUCAUUAUCCUUCUCUCAAUAAUUAAACAAGUAAACAGAAAAUCAGCAAGGAUAUAGUAGAUUUACACAUAAUCAACUACACAGACAUUUACCAAGAUAGACCACAGGCUGGGCCAUAAAACAAAGCUUUAAGAAAUUUAAAAGCAUUCAAGUCAAAGAAAAUAUGUUAUGUGACUACAAUGAAAUUGAAUUAGAAAUAAAUGAAAGAAAAACAUCUGGAAAAUUCCUAAAUAUUUGAAAAUUGAAUAUUUCUAAAAAAUCCAUCAUAGAUCAAAGAAGAAAUCAAAAGCGAAAUUAGAAAGUAUUUUGGACUACAAAAAUGAAAACACUACAAAUCAAAAGUUGUAGGAUGCAGCUGAAGCAGUAGUUCAUGGGAAUUUCAUAGCACUAAAUACCAAUAUUAGAAAAAAAGAAAGGUCUCAGUCAAUUACCUCAUCUUUCACCUUAAGAAACUAGGAAAAAAGAGCAAAUUAAACUGCAAGUAAUCAGAAGAAAAGAAAUAUUAAAGAUCAGUGGAGAAAUUGAUGAAAUACAAAGCAGAAACACAGUAGAGAAAAAUCAAUGAAAUCAGAGCCGGUUCUUUGAGCACACUGAUAAAAUUGAUAAACUUCUAGCCAAACUGAUCAAAGAGAAUACACGAAUUAUUAGUAUCAGAAACAUGAGAGGUGACUGUUACUGAUUCUAUAGUAACUAAAAGGAUAAUAUGGGACUAUUAUGAACAACAGUAUGCCAAUAAAUUUGACAAUGUAGAAUCAAAUGGAGAAAUUACUUGAAAGAGACAAAGUACCAUAGCUCACUCAAUAAGAAACAUCUUAACCCGAAUAGCCCUAUAGAUAUUAAAGAAAUUGAAUUUGAAGUUAAAAACCUUUCACCAAGAAAAUCCAGCCUCAUAUGUCUUCACAGAUGAAUCUACCAAAAGUUUAAGGAGGGAAAAAAAAUAUCAAUUUUAACAAACUCUUCCAGAAAAUUUAAUUGGAAGAAACAUUUCUCAAAUCAUUUUAUAAAGCUAAUAUUGCCAUUAUACAAAGACCAGAAAAAGACUUUACCAAAAGAUAGAAAUCUAAAGACCAAUAUCCUAUAAGUGAGUUUAGCAAGGUUGCAGAAUACAAGAUAAAUACAUAAAAAUCAAUUAUAUUUCUGUAUACUACCAACAAAUCAUAAAUUGAAAUUUUAAAAUGCAAUGCCAUUUAGAAUAGCAUAAAAGAUAUUGAAUACUUAGGACAAAUCUGAUAAAAUAUGCAGAAGAUCCAUAUACUAUAAACUACAAAAUUUUGCUGAAAGAAAUUAAAAAAGCCCUACAUAAUUGGACAGAUAUACUGUGGUCGAUGAUCAAAAAAUUUAAUAUUGUUAAGAUAUGACUUCUCCCCAGUUUUAAUCUAUAGAUUCAGAGAAUCCAAUGAAAAUCCCAACAGGCUUUACUGUAGAAAUUGACAAACUGAUUCUAAAACUCAUAGUAGAAUGUAAAGGACCUGGAACACACAAGACAACUUUGAAAAAGAAGAACAAAGUUGGAGGGCUUCCAUUACUUGCCUUUAAAACUUACUAUAGACCUAUUGUUAUCAAGACACUGUGACAUUGGUGUCAAAAUAAACAAAUAGAUCAAUGAAAAGAAUAAAGCCCCCAAAAUAGACUCACACAUAUAUACAGAAAUAAUUUUUGACAAUGGUGCAAAGGCAAUGCAGUGGGAAAAAGAAUAACUUUUUCAACAAAUGGUACUAGAACGAAUGAAUACUAUUUGCAAAAAAAUAAAAAUUAAAAAAAGAACUUUGAUCCAUAUGUUUCACUAUAAAAAUAUUAACAUUAAUUAAUAUAGAUCAUAGACCAAACUGCAAGACAUAAAACUAUAAAACUUCUAGAAGAAAACAUAGGUGAAAAUCUUUGUGACCUCGAAUUGGGCAAUGGCUCUUAGAUAUGACACAAAAAGAAAAAUCCAUUAAAAAAACUGAUAAACUGGGAUACAUCAAAAUUAAGAACUCCUGUUCUUCAAAAUAUAACAUUAGGAGAAUGAAAAAACACACAAAAGCCUGGAAGAAAAUAUUUAUAAGUCAUGUAUCAAGUAAAGGAGUUAUAUCUAGAAUAUGUAAAGAACUCUCAAAACUCAUAAUAAAAAAAUCUAAUCGUUUAAAUGAGCAACAGAUCUGAACAAACAUUUCACCAAAAAAUAUAUAUGGAGGAUCAAUAAGCACAUAGAAAGAUGUUCAUCAUUAGUUAUUAAGGAAGUGCAGUUUUAAAAUCAUAAUAUAACACUACACAUCUAAUAGAAUGUCUAAAGUUAAAAAUACUAAUCUUGGGUGAGCCCCGGUGGCCUAGUGGCUAAGUUUGUGCUCUCUGCUUCAGCAACCUGGGUUCAGUUCCUGGUGUGGACCUACACCACUGGUCUGUCAAUGGCCAUGCUGUGUUGGCGGCUCACAUAUAACAAGAGGAUGAUUGGUGCCAGAUGUUAGCUCAGUAUGAAGCUUUCUCAGGAAAAAAAUAAAAUGCUAAUCUUAAAUGUUCUCAUCAUAAAAAGAAAUGAUAAUUAUGUGAUGUGAUGGAGGUGUUAGCAAACCUAUGGUGAUAAUCAUUUGUGAUUAUAAGUGUAUCAAAUCAAUUUGUUGUACAUCUUAAACUUGCACAACAUUAUGUGUCAGUUAUAUCUCACUUAAGAUAAAAAAUAGAAUCUGCUUAAAGUAAAAACUAUUGACUGUCAAGUGUUGGCUAAGUUAUGGAGCAAGUGGAAUUCUCAUACACUACUGAUGGGAAAAUAAAUGGUGCAACCACUUUGAAAAACAGUUUGGCAGGUUCUUUAGAAGUUAAACAUACACCUACCAUAAUGACCUAGUCAUUUCACUCUUAGGUUUUUCUCCAAGAGAAAUAAAAGCACAUGUGUGUAUAAAGACUUGUACAAGAUUAUUUAUCACAGCUACAUUCAUAACGGCCCAAAAUUGUAAACAGCACAAAUGCCAAUCAAUAAAGGAAUGGAUAAUCAAUUUGUGGUAUAACCAUGAAAUGGAAUGCUCUCAGAGAUGAAACAGAAUGAACCAUUAAUACACAAAACAACAGGGAUGAAUCUCAAAAUAAUUAUGCUGAGUGAAAGAAGUCAGGCAAAAAAGUACAUACUCUAUGAUUUCAUUUAUACAAAAUUCUAGAAAAUGCAAACUAAUCUAUAGUGACAGACAGCAGAUCAAUGGUUGUUGAGCAUAUGAAUAGGUGGAAAGAAAGGAUGAGAGGGAGGGAUUACUAAAGGGCAAAAGGAAAUGGUUGGGGUGGAUGGAUGUGUUUAAUGUCUUCAUUAUAGUAUAGUGGUUUCACGGAGUAUGCAUAUGUCAAAACUUAUCAAAUUAUUUACUUUAAACACAUGCAACAUCAAUUUUACCUCAAUAAAGAUGUUUCCAAAAAUAGCAUAGGUCAGAGUUAAAAGCAGGAUACAAUUAGUUGCCUAGAAAGCAGCAGAGGGAAGAUAUGCCAAAAGUAAUAACUGCAAUCAUUAGAAACCUUCAUCCCAGUAGACCUAGACCACGUUGGCUGCAGGACCGCUUUCUUCAAUAUGCUCUCAGGCAUAUUUUCUACUUUUAUGCGCUCUAAUUGUUGUGCUUUAUCUAUGGAAUGUGGAUCCAUCUUAGAGCAAUCUUCUAGCUCUAUGCCUUCCCAUCUCUCAUUAGACCGUGUGCCAUUUUUCCCUUGAAAUGUCUCAGACAUCCUGGGCCUAUCUUUUAAUAAGAAGAUUUGUGUUCAUUCAGUUGCCCACACAUCAUGUGCCAAGCGACCCAGCCCAUAGCAAUCUUCACUAUUACACAUCAAACUCUUAUUCAAACUAUCUGGCUCCUGUUCUGUAAUGAGAUGCUGUGGGUUAAGGUCUUGAGAUGCCACAGUCUUCCAGCCCUUAGAAUCAGAAUGUUCUUCCUGGGAUUUUUUUUUUUUUUAAUGUGGGCCUAGUUACUCUGCUAUUACUCAUUCUCCAUGGCCCAGCACAAACCAAAAGAAUGCACUACAUACUUUCACAGAUAUCGUGCCAUUCAAUAUGCUAGGAGCUGAAUGUACAGUGGAAAAAAGUUACUGUCAUCAAAAAGUGAAGGCAGACCCUUCCACUUCUUGGAAGAUGGGUUGGAUUUACUUUUUCCUAUUGCUCCCACUAAGGACAACAAAACACUCUGGACAUUAUAUGUAAGAGAAAUAUAAGAAAACUUGGAAAAGUGGAGAAAAGAAGGCAGACAAAAUAGGGACAUCAGGGGCCAAGGGAUGAUACAGUGGUGAGUUCCCUGGGUUUUCUUUUGCCUUAUAUAUCCCACAAUUGGAGCUGAAGAAGCCAGCAAUGCAGAAAUGUCAAUAGGUGCAGACAACAACAAUAACAACAAACAAAAGCCUGCUCUCUGUAGCCAAAGUAACAGGAAAGGGGCAGUAUAGCAUGACAGAAAACUUUUAGACAGUAAUUUCUCUACUCCAGCCAAACACCAUAGGAAAGAAAAGUAAAUAAAUAAAGCCUAUUGCCCUAUCCUCACUCAUGCCAGCAAAGACCAUGUAGGGAGCCUAGACUUCCAACCUCCAAGGCUGUACCAAGGUAUCCCAACACCCCUGCCAGAAAAGUCCAACUAGAGAGCUGAGACUAUCUUUCCUGACAACUGGUAAUGAGGUCCACACUGUAGUAUCAGUGGAAACCAUGUAGGGCGCCUGGACUUCCACACCUACCUGGCAGUAAUGAGGUACUUCUCCCCUCCCUCUUGGGGAAGUAUCAGAGAGUCAGGACUUUCACAUCACUCAGCAGUAAUGAGGCCACCCUCACUGCAGUGUGAACACAAUCUACUUGGAAAGCUGGAACUCCCACUUCUGCACAGCAGUGACAAGGAAUCCCCCUAUCUCUGGGGUCAACAGAGGCCAAGUUGGGAAGCUGGUCUUCUAUCUCCACCCGACAGUGACAAGGUGAUGCCUUUCCCUUCUCUUGCUACAGCAGUGUCAGAGGGAACCAAUUAAAACAGAAGGUUUAAGUAAGAUCCAGAUUCUUGUAACAUAAUAUGAAAAUGUCCAGGUUUCAAUAAUAAAAAUCGCCUAUGCCAUAAACCAGGAAGAUCUCAAGAUGAGUGGAUAAAUAUAGAUGCAAAAAAUUAUUAACAAAAUAUUAGCAAAUAGAAUUCAGCAAUAUAGAGAAAGAAUUAUACUCUAUGCCCAAGUGAAGUUUUUCAAGGAAUGCAAAAAGUUAUUCAGUAUUUGAAAAUCAAUCAAUGUGAUCCACCAUAUUAGCAAACUAAUGAAAAAAACCAUAUGACCAUAUUAAUCAAUGCAAAAAAGGCAUUUGACAAAAUUCAGUUCCCAAUCAUGAUUUAAAAAACAAUCCAGAAGAAUAAGAAUAGAGGGAAUCUUCUCAACUUGAUAAAAAGCAUGUACAGAAAAUCUUCAGCUAAUAUUAUACUUAAUGGUUAAAGACAUCUGCUUUGUGCCUAAGAUUGACAACAAGGCGAGGAUGUCAACUCAUACCUCUCUUAUUGAAUAUAGUGCUGGAAAAUCUAAACAGUACAGUAAGGCAAGGCAAGGAAAUAGAAGGCAUACACAUCAGAAGGGAAGAAAUAUAACUGUCCCUAUUUGCAAGUGACAUAAUUUUGUACAAAGAGAAUCCCAAGGAAUCUACAAAAAAAAAAUCAAGAAAACCAACAAAAAUCUCAUAGAACUAAUAAGUGAUUCAGCAAGGUCACAAGAUGAAAUAUAAACAUGCAAAAAUAAAUUAUAUUUCUAGAAUCUCAAGGCACCCUGAAUAGCCAAAACAAUAUUAAAAAACAGAAGAACAAAGUUGGAGGGCUCACAUUCCCUGAUUUCAAAACUUAGUACAAAGCUACAGUAACCAAAACAGUGUGACACUAAUGAUUCACAGGUGAUUUGUAAAAACUAAUGGGAAGAUUUUUUGCCAACAAACUGCCUGAUAUUUUACCAGUUGGGGAUUGGAUUAAUAUUUACCCCUGUGAAGAUUAAGGCAACAGCAGGGGCUGAGGUAGAGGAAGCAUAGAGAUAGAUAUAAGGACAGUCAGACUAUAAUAAGGGGCAUAGCAGAGGUACAAACAAAGUCCAGUGGGAACAAGGAGGAAACUUUAAGUCUUCCUAAAGGCAUCCAAGAAGCCAUCAUGGGCAAAGUGGCAACAUUUGAAUUGCUUUAAGGAUGAAUGUGAAUAUGACAGAUGGAAAAAGGACAAAAGGGAAUAAUUGAAUGAGGGAACAGAAUGAUCACAAGGUGUAGAGCUGUGCAAGAUGGUGGUUGGGUUGGGGAAUGGUGGUGGUUGGUGCACAGUUCUAUAUUAAUACUGCUCCUAUUCCUAUUGGUGCAGGGCUGAAGUCCAUUAAAUGUGCCAAUUAAUCUUUUCAUAAUCUAUUUUAGAUUUUGUAUUAGUUUCCUAUUGCUGCUGUAAUAAAUCACUACAAACUUAGUAGUUUAAAAUGACACAAAUUUAUCUUACAGUUCUGUAGGUCAGAAGUUCUAAAAUCAAGGUGCCAGCAGGGCUCUGUUCCUUCUAGAGGCUCUAAAGGGGAGUCCAUUUGCCUUUUCCAGCUUCUAUAGGUUGCCUGCAUUCUUUGCCUCAUGACCCCUUCUUCACCUCAUUCUGAUCCCUGCUUCCAUCAUCACAGCUCCUUCUCUCACUUUGACCCUUCUGCCUCCCUCUUACAAGGACUGUUGUGAUUACAUUGGGCCCAACUAUAUAAUUUAGGAUACUCUUCUUAUCUCAAAAUUCUCAACCGCAUCUGCAAAGUUCCGUCUGCAAUGUAAGGUAAUAUAUUCAUAGGUUUUGGGGAUAAGGAUGUAAACAUCUUUGGAGCUCCAUUAUUCUGUCUCCUACAGAUUCUACUGGAGCUAAUUAUCUGAGGUCCCAAAAAAUAGAGGCUGAAUUAAUUUGUAUAUCUAAAGAGCGUGCAACCCAAAUGGUAUCUUUCUGGCUAUUCAAAAUAGUUGACUUUCUGCAACUAAUUUGUAGGGUCCCCUUUCAUCAGUCAGUAUCAUGAGUGAUAACUCUCAAAACAAUCCCAAAUCAUUCACAGCUUCUCUACUGGUGAGACCUUUCUGACACCAAUCCUUGGCAUGUCAUGAAUAUUUAAAGAGUUCCUGUUGCCUUCUUUCCUUUCAUCACUAAACUUGUGAAAGGAGGCAUUAACAAUCACCAUCUCCAUUUCUUUAGCUCCCAUUCACAUUUUCACCCAGGAAAAGCUGUCACCUAUCCUGGAUUCAGUUUCCUCACCUGGUCCAGGUCCUUUAUUAUUGAGAUGUUCCUCUCCAGCUUUAAGCUCUGUGACUCCAGGCUACUUCUCAAUCAACCAGCAUCAGGAGGGGGGGCUGGUUCACCUCAAGUCUCUUAGCCCCUAGUAAAUUAUGUUUCUCCUAGGCUUUCAAGCCAAGCUGUCAGUCUAAUCAGUUUGUUGUGACAAACUUUGGUUCAGAAUUCAGCAGGAACUUUUUCAGCAUUGUAGAAGCCCAUUAAGAAACAAUUCAGGCUGGGAAUGAAGGCUGCCCCUCCAUUCCUGGGAGGCUUCUUUCCUGAUGCUGGGCUGCAUACUGAUGCCCUUCUGGCUGGGGGCUUCUGUAUACUAAGAAAGCAAAAAUAUCACGCUUUCAGGGUGGAAGGGGAUAGAAACUCUAGCACGGAUGUGCCUGAGGCAGUCUGGUCUCUGAGGGCUCAGAGUUAAUAACAGCUUUCACUUUUAGUUAUAUAUUUACUUUCCAUAUAAUCUCUUUUGGGCUGAAGAAAAACAACACAUCUUCUAACCAGGGAAAGAGAACAGUUUCUGUUUGAGAAAAGUUCAGUAGUCUAUUAAAUAUUUUUUUAUUUAAAAAACAUUUUUAAAAAAGAUUUUAUUUUGUUUUUCCUUUUUUCUCCCCAAAGCACCCUGGCACAUAGUUGUAUAUUUUUAGUUGUGGGUCCUUCCAGUUGUGGUAUGUGGGACGCCGCCUCAGUGUGGCUUGAUGGGUGCCGUGUCCGUGCCCAGGAUUUGAACCAGCAAAUCCCUGGGCCUCUGAAGUGGAGUGCGCGAACUUAGCCACUCGGCCCCCAGGCCAGCCCCUAUUAAAUAUUUUAAAUUGCUUUAUAAAAUGUUUCAAGCCUGGAUUUUCUGUAAUUUAUUUAAUAAUAUUCACUGAGGGAGAUCUGACAAUGUUUGACGAGGCUCCAAAAGCUUUUAUUGAUUGUCUUCUGAAAGACCUGAUUAUCUUCCUGCUUCUAGGGGAAAGGAUUUAUUGGGGAAUACUCCUGAGACGAAGUGCGAGUGGGGAAUGGUUGCUUCCAGUCUUGUGUUAACUUGUAGUAAAUGAAUAGUUAAUACAACUUUAUUUCUUUGUUCAUUCAAUGUAUUUACUGAGGCCUUACCAUGUUCUAGGGUCUGUGCUGGGCAGUAAGUAUAGAUAUGAAUUAGACACAGCUUGGUUUUCAGGGAGCUUCCAGUCUAGCAGGAUAGAGAGAUAUGUAAAUAUCAUGUAAACUAAGUGCAACAAAAUGUUGUGGAUUCUAUGGAAGCAUCUGCAUAUUAUAUAAUGAGGGUAAAAUGGGGAUGGAUCCAUGAUUUUAUUACCGGGAAAUGGAAAAGCAUCACUUGAGGUCCUUGUAAGUUCUUACCCAGGUAGCAGGUAUAUGAAUGAGAAGGCAUUCUGAAGGAGGCCUGGCAUUAUCCAUACACUGGUUCAAUGACCCCCUAAAUAUUUAUGGGAUAUUGACCUUAAGCCAAGAAUAUGCUUAUGGUCAAGAAUUUAUUUGACUGGAUGAUCAAAUAAAAAGGAGAGCAGUUACAGGACACUUGAAGAAAAAGGAGAUUUUUCUUGCCAAAAGAAUAGUGAACAGGGAAAUAAAGAGAUAGUGAAAAAUCAAGGGAGUCUACUUUAUUGUAUUUUAUUUUCUUGCUGGGGAAGAUUAGCCCUGAGCUAACAUCUGUUGCCAAUCUUCCUCCACUUUAUAAGUGGGUCACCACCACUGCAUGGUUUACGAGUGGUGUAGGUCUGUGCCCGGGAUCCAAACCCAUGAACCUGGGCCGCCAAAGUGGAGCAUGCCCAACUUAACCACUGCAUCAUGGGGCUGGCCCCAAGGGAGUCUACUUUAAUAUUAAAUAUUUACCUGGUGAGGGCUGAAAGUUUUUCAUACUCUGGUCAGGCUUACCAAAUUUGAAAUGGUAACCCCAUAAAUGUGAAAGUAUGAGAUUUCUUUUGUGGCCUUUCUUGCGGUGGUAAAAACAGAAUAUGUGCUUUUUAAAAAAAAUUUAUAAUCGAGGCUUUAUAAAUCCAGAAGGAAAAGCUAAACUCUUAAGUGGUUCCUAUAUUUCUUGAGAAAUAUAUUAUUUUCUCUAACAACAGUUAUUUCAAACCAAAGCAGCACUAGAUGACUUAAUAAGGGAAAAAUCUAAUAACUCAGAAUAAGUAUGGGCAAAGAACAGGAGUACGCAGUUUCAUAGAGAAGUGAAUAUGAAUGGAUUGCACAAAUAUAAAAAAUAGUCAGCGUUACUUAUAAAGACAUGCAAAUCCAAACAAAGAGAGACCUACCCGAAUGCCAACAUUUAGACAUUCAAUAACAUUGUGUUGAAGAAUGAAGAAACUGUCAACCUCAAAUAUUGUGGAUGAGAGAAAAAUGUGUGCAACCAUUUUGGAGAGCAAUUAGAUGCUGUCUAACAAAACUAAAUACGCACACAUAUUCCUCGACCUAGUAACUCCACAUCUAGAAAUUUAUCCUAAGAUAAAUGGUCAAAGAAGUUAUGUACAAAGAUGUUUCUACAGCCUUGUUUCUAAAAGCAAUACUAAAAUAUAUCUUUCAAUUGGAAAUUAAGUAAAUUAUGGUUGAUUCAUACUAUGGAAUAUGUCACUAUUAAAGAGAAAGAUGUAAAUACAUUUGUGCUAACACAGAAAUAUCCCUAUCAUUAAAAAGCAGAUGCAGAACAGUGUGUGUGAUGCCUGUAAAUAGAAGACGUUUGAACGGGUACACAAGAAACUGCUAACAGUCGUUUUCCGGGGAGUGGAAUUGGGAGGAUUUGGUGUAAGAAGCAGAUUUAAUUUUUAUUGUAUACAUUGGAUUCUGUUUCACUCAUUUCCCUAUGUAUAUGUGUGACUUCUUUCAAUUAAAAGCCGGCCCCGUGGCCGAGUGGUUAAGUUCGUGCACUCUGCUGCGGUGGCCCAGGGUUCAGAUCCUGGGCGCGGACAUGGCACUGCUUGUCAGGCCAUGCUGAGGCAGCAUCCCAUAUCCCACAACUAGAAGGACCUUCAACUAAGAUGUACAACUAUGUACCAGGGGGGAUUUGGGGAGAUAAAGCAGAAAAAAAAAAAAAAAAAGAUUCGCCACAGUUGUUAGCUCAAGUGCUAAUCUUUAAAAAAAAAAAAAAGCAAAAGCUAGUUUAAAUAGACUAGUUUAAAUAGUAAGAAAACUAGUUUAAAUAGUUUAAGUAGACAGAAGAGAUCAGUGGUGGAAUGCUAUUGUCAGAAGACGAUCUGUAGUCCCAAAACAGAAAAAAAUUUCUCAACUUAAUCAUCCUGAGCUCUAACAGUACUUCUAGUUAUUUUUCUG
ensembl:lncRNA